rnacentral:rRNA from 1 species
AUCCUGGCUCAGGAUGAACGCUAGCUACAGGCUUAACACAUGGCAAGUCGAGGGGCAGCAGGACGGUAGCUUGCUACUGUCGCUGGCGACCGGCGCACGGGUGAGUAACGCGUAUCCAACCUUCCCCUGAGUAGGGAAUAGCCCCGGCGAAAGUCGGAUUAAUGCCCUAUGCUGUCCGACGAUAGCAUUUGAAUCGGACGAAAGAUUUAUCGCUCAGGGAUGGGGAUGCGUCUGAUUAGGUUGCAGGCGGGUAACGGCCCACCUGGCCGACGAUCAGUAGGGGUUCUGAGAGGAAGGUCCCCCACAUUGGAACUGAGACACGGUCCAAACUCCUACGGGAGGCAGCAGUGAGGAAUAUUGGUCAAUGGGCGAGAGCCUGAACCAGCCAAGUAGCGUGCAGGACGACGGCCCUAUGGGUUGUAAACUGCUUUUGGAGGGGAAUAAAGUGGCGUACGCGUACGGUAUUGCAGGUACCGCAUGAAUAAGGACCGGCUAAUUCCGUGCC